CGGACGGGUGAGUAACACGUGGAUAACCUACCUAUAAGACUGGGAUAACUUCGGGAAACCGGAGCUAAUACCGGAUAAUAUUUUGAACCGCAUGGUUCAAAAGUGAAAGACGGUCUUGCUGUCACUUAUAGAUGGAUCCGCGCUGCAUUAGCUAGUUGGUAAGGUAACGGCUUACCAAGGCAACGAUGCAUAGCCGACCUGAGAGGGUUAUCGGCCACACUGGAACUGAGACACGGUCCAG
rnacentral:rRNA from 1 species